rnacentral:rRNA from 1 species
GAUGAACGCUGGCGGCGUGCCUAAUACAUGCAAGUCGAGCGAACAGACGAGGAGCUUGCUCCUUUGACGUUAGCGGCGGUCGGGUGAGUAACACGUAGGUAACCUACCUAUAAGACUGGGAUAACUUCGGGAAACCGGAGCUAAUACCGGAUAAUAUUUCGAACCGCAUGGUUCGAUAGUGAAAGAUGGCUUUGCUAUCACUUAUAGAUGGACCUGCGCCGUAUUAGCUAGUUGGUAAGGUAACGGCUUACCAAGGCAACGAUAAGUAGCCGACCUGAGAGGGUGAUAGGCCACAAGGGAACUGGGACACGGUCCAGACUCCUACGGGAGGAAGCAGUAGGGAAUCUUCCGCAAUGGGCGAAAGCCUGACGGAGCAACGCCGCGUGAGUGAUGAAGGUCUUCGGAUCGUAAAACUCUGUUAUUAGGGAAGAACAAACGUGUAAGUAACUGUGCACGUCUUGACGGUACCUAAUCAGAAAGCCACGGCUAACUACGUG